rnacentral:rRNA from 1 species
CCUACGGGAGGCAGCAGUGGGGAAUAUUGGGCAAUGGAGGAAACUCUGACCCAGCAACGCCGCGUGAAUGAUGAAGGUCUUCGGAUUGUAAAGUUCUUUUCGCAGGGAAGAAGAAGGUGACGGUACCUUAGGAAUAAGCCUCUGCCAACUACGUGCCAGCAGCCGCGGUAAUACGUAGGAGGCGAGCGUUCUCCGGAAUGGCUGGGCGUAAAGGGCGCGUAGGUGGUUUAGCAAGUCAGUAGCGUAACUGCAAGGCUCAACCUCGGAACUACGACGAAAACUGUUGGACUUGAGUGCAGGAGGGGUAAGCGGAAUUCCUAGUGUAGCGGUGGAAUGCGUAGAUAUUAGGAGGAACACCAGUGGCGAAGGCGGGUUGCUAGACUGUAACUGACAUUGAGGCACGAAAGCGUGGGGAGCAAACAGGAUUAGAUACCCGGGUAGUC